UUUUUUUUUUUUUUAAUAAGCAAGGGAGAGAGAAGGAGGUUCUACCAUGUAACAUCUACAAUCUGUGCAUUCAUAUAUUUUGGCAAUUUUAUUUUUUAAAUGCUCACGUGACAUUUUUAAACAUUACUCCUUGAAAGAGAUCCUGUUUUCCUCCUUCAUUUAUUUAUUUUUUUUCUUUCAGAACAGUCUCUGCAAGAGAGCAGAGAGAGAGUGCUUCACUGACUGUCACAUUAUGAUUAGCCUUCAGUAUAGCACCAGCUAUAAUGUAUGUUUUAGCACUGAUGAGCCUGGCCAGGAAAGGGUUUUGAUUUUUUGGUUUUUUGGGUUUUUUUGUUGGUGGUGGUGGUGGUUGGUUGGUUUUGGCCGCCCCAUGGCAUAUGGAGCUCUGGGUCCAGGGAUCAGAUCCGAGCUACAGCCGUGAACUAAGCUACAGCUGCAGUGAUGCUGGAUCCUUAACUCACUGUGCCGGGGUGGGGAUCGAACCCACCUCCCAGCAUCCCCAAGACCCUGCCAAUCCCGUUGCACCACAGUGGGAACUCCAAGAAAUGUUUUUUUUAAGUGCAAAAAGGUAUCUGCAUCCUCCCUCUCAGCCUGCCUUUUCUCCUCCCUGGUGUUCUGACAUUUCCCCCUCAGGCACCUUGGCUGGGAGGUGAUGCUGAGGGCUGGUCCCAGAGGCCCUGUGCUGUGGCUGGAUGAGUCCAGGGCUGGUCAGCCAUUUGAGCAGGUUCACCGUGUGCUUAAAUGACAGUUGGGGGUGCAAUCUGGAGCAGAGGGUUUUCUCUUCAGCAAAGCUCCAUGAUGCUUGAUCCUUGAAUUAAGUCACUAACCAGAAGAAAUUGAAGUGAGGAGGAGCUAGAUCCAUCUCCCGCUCCCCUCCCCAGAACUGUGGGACACAAGGAAGGAGAAGGGGUGGCUGUGAAGAAGUCCUGGAGCAAGACUUUGUGGCCCUGCCCCCAUGGGUACAGCCCAAGGCCGGGUCUGAGCUCUGGCCCAGCUGAGCCAAGAUCAGUCUUUCCCCAGUGAUUAGCUGAUGCCUAGAGGUAUAAGCAGAAGCAUAAAGUUGAAUGCGGCUUCCCUGGGCUUUCUUCUCCUUUCUAGAGCCUUCUUCACACACAUUUUCUGCAUUUCCCACCCAUGAAGGGUACCUUUCUGCUGGCCAGCCGGGCACGCUGCAUGCCCUCUUCUCUAGCUCCCAGGUGGACACAGACCCCCAGUACUUUCUGCACGCAGACAUCCGUUCCCUGUACCAAGGCAUGUAAUGACUAGGGGACCACCAGGCUUCCCCUGGAGCCUAGAAGAAAAGGGAUGAAACUUCUUGCAGGCCACCCAGAAAGCUGCAAAUUGCAAUAUACAGCGAUGAUUGUAAACACUACAUUUAAAAAAAAAAAAAAGAAAAAGAAAAAAGGAGAGCUAUUUUGUUGUAUUUUGGAAUUAAGUGCCAAAUGAAGCCCAAGUUUCAUUUUAUGCCUUCUCUGUGGUGCCACAUUCUUUUUUGUCUUCAUUUGGCCCCAGGGGAGGAGGGAGACGGGUGGAAAGGGAGGUCCCAAAGCAAAGGUGCUGCUUAACGGGAACACCUUCCAUCCCUCAGAGACCCACCUGGGCAAAAGGAAUGGCAGUUCAAUGAGUGCUGGUCUCAAAGCCAUUCUAAAGAAGGCAUGUGGCAGCCUCUGACAUUUCCCUUCCUGCAGAAAAGAUGUCACCUUGCUCUGCAAAGAAGGCAUUUUCUGGUGAUGGACAGGCAUUCUCCAGAGAGCUGCACAGCAGAGAGAGCUGGCUCAUCAGGCAUCAGUCAUUUUAAACCUUAGUUCUUCUUGGAGGAUGUGUGCCCAGUUUAUGGGAGGCAGUGUGACCACCUGGAGGAAACACCUGGGUGGCAAGCAGGUGGGGAGCCAGAGAUGAGAUACAGGAGGGCUGUGGACACCUGGCCCCGGCUCACAUUUUUAGUGCCGAUUGGCCGGUGGUGAUUAUCCCUGGGCACCUCUAAGGGAGUUGCCAUCUUCCUGCCCUGACAGUGGCUGCUGGAAGCAAAGAGAGAGCUCCCUUGCAGGAGGCGCUCAGGCCACAGAUGCAGGACUGCUGUGCGCUUCUCAGGUGGGCACAGACUGCUCCCUGCCUCACUUGCUGCAAAGCUUCCUCCCUUGUUGGGCAAAAGGCGAUUUCAGGAAAAGGGCAGCAUGUUUCUGAGCAGGAAUGUGCAGUGCCCCUUGGCAGCUCUGUGCACCAGCAGGGUGGGGGCCUUUUAGGAGAGGAUUCCUUGUAUAGUAGGUAACUGUGUUGAAAAGUUUCAACAGAUGCCUGUUACAGUUUGUUACAGUCUCUUGGGCUUUCGGUUCCAUGUAUGUUGCAAAAGAUUUCUGAAAUGGACAUGCGCUCCAUCCCAAUUUCAAGUUCACUUGAGUACAAGUCGGCUGUCACAGGUGUCACAUGAAGCCACACUUGAAAGCAGCCCUGGGUUCUGAAUGAGCCAGCACUGCAGAACCCAUUUCUGCCGUCACCUGACUUCAAUGGAAAAGGAAAGCGCAGCAUUCAUUUGGGAAUGUUUAGAGAAGAGUGGCAAGGGUUGUGUGUAUGAGAGAGAUUACCUUGAGAAUAGUAGCAAAAUACUGUAAAAAAAUAUUCAUUUCCUCAGGGAAAACUAAAGGGUAUGUGAAAAAUAGAUCUGGAGGUUCCUAAGACUAGAAAGGCUUUUAUUAUCUCCAGCGUCUUUUCUAGCAGAACAGUUCUUUGUUUGUUUGUUUGUUUGUCUUUGAAUGAACAUCAUAGCAUUUCAAGACAAGUUGCCAUGAACUGGACGGUACCGACUUUUUGAGGUGUGGAGGAAUGUUCUAUGAAACAGAGCAGUUUCUUUGUAUCUUAGACCUAGUCUGAGGCUGACAUCUGAACCGCAGUGCAGUCCCUCGUGGGUGUUCCCAGACUCACAUCAGGCUGUUUCUGAAUGUAGUUGUUGAGUAUGACACCUUGGUGUUCCUUUUUUAUAAUCAACUGGAUGAACAGCUGGUUAUUAGCUAUCCGCAGAAUUCUGUAGGUGAAGGACACGAAAGAUGUGCAUUUUGCUUUAAUAGCAUGUUAAGGAGCAAACUUCCAUGGACAUUUGUGGACAAGGUGCUGCUUUUCUUCAUGACCCUGUAGAGUUUCUAUUGACCACAUCAACUGUAGCUCUGACCUGUAUGAACGCAGGGAAGAAUGUGUACAUACAAAUGAGUGGAAACAAAGCAGACAUCAUGAAUAUGGAUGAGGACGUGGAUCAUUCUGGAGAAUGCGCUGGGCCCACGGGUCAACUGGAAAUUUCAUUUCUCUUAAGAAAAUAACCCAACCAGCGGCACACACGCUCUCCCCACCCCUGCCCCUGUGGGGGUGCCUCCAUAGCAGAACUGUUUCCUUCUGUCUUUUGCAUUGUAGCUAGUCAAACCAGAAGUCAGUAAAUACCAUGAGAUUAGCACUUCUAGGUACCAAUUGUGUCACUAAGUAAGGCACACCCAUAGAGCAAGAAAGGAUGUGUUUAAGACCAACUGGUUUGCUUCUCGUGACUGACUUUGAAAAAGCCCAGAUCCAAUGAUAUACAUGCUUUAAAAGGUGUAUCUAUCAAAGGACCAGAAAUGAAAAUGGGAAUUUUACUUCUGGUCCUGUUUUGUAAAUAGUUCCUCUUUUUUUGAAGACAAUCUCAUGUUUUAUAACUUUUCUUGUGAGUCUGAGAAUCACAAUGGCAAUGUGUUGUGUCAAAAUGUAAUCUUAAAUACAAGAAUGAUUAUAACUUAAUUUUCCAAAUAAGACAAGAAAUAUACUGCUUAGGCUUCCACAAUUCUGAGAGAUGUGGCACUUUUAUAAUACGCAUUAGUACUUAACUUCUCAAGUUAGCAGAACUGGAAAUAUUUUACAAGAUGCAGUGUUUUGUAAUCACAAAGAAUAUGAACAUUUUGUGGGAAAUGACCUUGGUUUUAUACAUUGUAGCUUAUUUUUUAAAAUACAAUAUUUUAUCAGACAGGAAGUGUUAAUAAGCAAUUCCUGCUCUCCAAACAAAGGGCUAUGCCUCUUUUAAACAAAUGUUUUGAUGCAUAUCUUUUCAGUCAAUCCUCUGCAGCAAGGGUAGAAAUGCAGAUCGAAUGGAAAGAUUAUUACAAGAGAAUCAAGAUGACAACAGCUACUUUUAUCAUAACCAGAUUGUUUUCAAAAUAUUUUGGAAAAAAAAAGAUGCUUGAAGAAUCAUUGCUAUACAUCUUAAAUCUUCAAAAUGUUAAUAGAUAUGCUUAUAGGCAAUGGGAGAACUCUACGUGUAAAUUCUUUAGUGUAAAAUGAUAGAUUCUGUCGCAAGGACAAGCUUAUUGGUCAGCCUACUAGAACCACAAAGCUGCAUUUAAUUAACAAGUACUAUUUGAUGGAAAUUUCUAAAAUUGCGGUAUGAAAGUCCAAAGAGAAUUCUUAGGUGAUCAGUAACAUUUAAAAUAAUUUUGUCUUCAGCACUGACUAAAUAACUUUCCUUUUAUUAUGAGAACAAGUGCUUGAUUUUUCACCUGAAGAAUUCAUAGAUAUGCAAGUUUGAGAUGAAAAAACUCACUGUAUUCUCAAGGGCCAGAAAACAAGGAAGGGAUCCAUGGAAAGUUUAUUAGCCACACAAAAAUUCUGAGCUUUGCCAAAACCAUUUCAUAAUGCCCUAGUUUUUUCUAGCCCACUCACUGUUAAAGCAAGAAAGCUUCUUUCUAAGAUUUUAGUCAUUCAAAAACUAGACUAAUUAGUGAAGUAUUCAGAUAACAUCAAAAGAAAAGCUGAGAUAGACCCAUCGGGCAACUCCUAUGAGAUGGUCGGAGGGUCACUCAGACUUUGCUUUCAAAUAAGCUUUAGAAUCUGCAUACAUGAGGACUAGAAAUGCACAGAGUUAGGGAAAAACAUGUACAGCCUUAUCUCUGAGAUGAGGCAGCCUGCAACUCUGUCUUCAUUCUCUUGGAAUAUCUAUUGUUGGCAUUAAAGUUCUCAAGAAGUAUUUAUUGCUGCAUGGUUUUGAACCAAAAGAGUCUUGCUUCAUACUUAAAUAGAAGCCUCCUAGUGGUAUAUAGUAGAUGCCUUAGAAAUACCAGGCAGAUUCUGUAAAUGAACGAUUCAGAUCAGGCAAAAGAAGGACAUUAGAGAAUGGUGGAGACCAUAAUGAACCAGAGAAUGCAUGCCCCAUUUCAAGAGGGGACCUUGCUCUAGACAAUCAGAACCAUGCAGAAAUCAGGCCCCGGGCUGCUAGACCUUCUGACUUGGAAAUAGGAUGACUUGGAAAUAUUAAGCUAAACUCAAAUUCUUGGCCAAUACUGUGCAGACCAAAGAGAACCUGUACAUGGGCAGAUGCAGCCUUUGGCCUCCAGUUUUAACAGUUGGGAAAAGCAGAUUUCACCUUCCAUCGCCAUCAGGUCAAGCUCUUCCAUCAGCCCCACAAACUCACACAUUGACACUGGGCAACUAAAAUCGUAGCAGGGCAAGAAGUCAUAUCUCCCCAGAAAUCAUUCUUAUGGAAGACUUGAAUAUAAAAAGACAAUACCCUUAAACUAACCUUGCCUCUGAUCAAAAUAUAAUGAAGUGUUAUCCAACUCUCACUCUGCCUCCUGGCAUGCCCAGGCCAGGCCCAAAGCACUGAAUGACUGUAAUCCUAACUUCCUCCCUCUUUUUGCUACCGUGACCACUGUGAUGAGGGCCUGGCAAAGAGCAGCCUUGUACCUUGGGAAAAGGCAACUGGGAGCCCCUGCAGUUUGACACAGCACACGCUGCCUCCUUGUGCCAAAGCCCUUGGCCAGCCCCUCUGCACCCCUUCCCACUCCAUCCUGCCUCUCAUGCCAGGACAAAAUUUCUGAUGUUCCACCUCUGACAUGGCAAAAUCCUUGCUUUAGAACUGGUAGGUACGUAGGUAUUUUAAAGUGUCCACUAACCACAAAAUGCAGUUUUUUUUCCCACAUAGAAAACAUUAUGGUCUUUGUCUGAGGGUGAAGACAAACUGGGAAUAUAUGUGUCAUGGGAAAAAAAUUAGUUGCUUCCUUUGUUGAGAUGCACUAAGUUAUUUUUAGACUGCAUCUUAACACCAUAGUCCUGGUGGUGGGGGGCUAAACACUGACCCUUUCACUUGUAUAAGAAAGUAUGUUUCUUUCAGAUACAUGACUUCAUUUGACCUUUCCUAGAGCCCGAGGUAGAAUAAGAACACUGAGAAGCACCAUCACCACGUCCAAGGCCAACCCAGUUCAAGUGACCUUGAACCUGUGAGUCAGCCUCCAUUACUGCCUGCAGGGAGUGGGAAAAGAGUUUGUCUUCCAGAACAACUCUAGACCUGGGAAGACCCAGGGCCCCAAGUACUUCACCCACCCUUGCCAUCCAGGUCUUUCAGCUCAGAAGAACCCACUCGUUCACAUUUCAAGUGCAGACUUGAUCACCCUGAAUUAUCCCCCUAGGAUACCUACCAUGACCCCGUCCCCUAAAUUCCAACCAUCUACGUGGCUAAUUGUAGGAGUUGAUUAGUUAGUGUACUCUUCUUGGUCAGUGUUUUGACUCCUUGGGGAAAAGUUAUUUUGCUGCUAGCAGUCAACAUUUGCUAUCCAUAUAAACUCAUCCUGAUGCACCCAAAUUUGAGAACAGCUCCAAUUUACAAUUUGUUGUCAUCAAGUUGAAAAAUACCGUCCACUCAAAAUUGGAAAGAUCAGGCAAUAUGGUGAAGCCAUGUUUAUAUACAAAUGCAGUUUAAACCACAUUGGCAGUACCUGAGAUUUCUGUCAUUGUGAAGGAUGAAAAGAUGGACCAGUCCAUGAAUGGAUUUCAUCUUACCCUUCUCCCAUCGGCUGUCAAAGUUUCACAUUCUGAAUUUGGGGUAAAGCCACUUGCAAGUUCAGUCAUGGAGCUAAGGGGGCCUAAACCAUUAAUAGACGUUUUGAUAAAUGAUACUUUUAGUAUAUUUUUAAAGCAAUACAGUGCUGGAAAAAAAAACCCAUUUUGCCAUGGUUAGCCCCCAGAUGGUGGCAGGUCUUCAAACGACCCAAGUUCUAAGGAACAAGAAAAAAGCUAUCAUUUCCAAAAGAAAACAGCAAUAGAUUUUGAAAGAAGGUAGAGAUUAUGAAUUCAAUGCCUAAACUGCAGUCUUUGUUUUUCUAAAAAUCUUCUUUCCUAUUGAGUGCCAUCCAUAUAAUUAUUAAUGGCCAGCUUCCAAAGAAAAUAUCCCCUUUGCUAAGAAUAUGAAAGUGUUAAAAAUUCAUUCCCAAGUCUGAUGAAUACAUACUUACUAGGAGCAAGUCUCUAAAUUUUUAAAAUGAGUCAGGGGAGCAAGUAGCAACUCCUGAAACAGGCAAGAGAAAUGCCAUUAAAAAACAAAUUUUUCUUGGAGUUCCCGUCUUAGCACAGUGGAAACGAAUCUGACUAGGAACCAUAAGGUGGCAGGUUCAAUCCCUGGCCUCGCUCAGUGGGUUAAGGAUCUGGCUGUGAGCUCUGGUGUAGGUUGCAGAUGCGGCUCGGAUCCCACGUUGCUGUGGCUCUGGUGUAGGCCGGUGGCUACAGCUCCGAUUCGACCCCUAGCCUGGGAACCUCCAUGUGCCGAAAGUGCGGCCCUAAAAAGACAAAAGAAAAAAAAUGUUUUUCUUAAAAAAAAAAGUUUCUCAUCUGUUUUAUUCUGAAUUCUCCUUACAUCUUGAACUGAAGAGGAAAAACCAGCGCUCUGGAUAAGUCACUGAGCUUUAGAGGAGAAAGAAGACAGACAGUCCACAUUCUGGUUACUAGUCUUGUUUUCCCAUCUCGGCAACCACCUCAGAUUUGCCAGUGAAAGUUUAUCCUCUCCUCUUUGCCUUCAUCUGCCCGAGCCAGAGACCAUGCUGUUAUUAUGUAUGUUUGCUUCCCAAAGCCCUGGCUUAAACAUUUUUGCUUCUGUGCUCCUGAUCUCUCUCACUCUUAAAUUAAGGUCCAAGGGGAUAAAGAUGAUCAUGACUGCAUGUUAGUCAAUGAGGCUACCCCUUCCUUCAGGGAAACGUUUCCAUUUGUCUGAACAGUUUUGGGUGAUGGUUCAGAGAGCAGAUUGGUCAGCCACACAUCCCAAAAGAUUCUGUCAGACUCACUGAUAAAGAACAACAAGGCAGGAGUUCCCAUCCUGGCUCAGCGGGAAUGAAUCUGGCUAGCAUCCAUGAGGAUGCAGGGUCAAUUCCUGGCCUCACUCAGUGGGUUAAGAAUCUGACAUUGCCCUCAGCUGUGACGUAGGUCGCAGAUGAGGCUCGGAUCCUGAGUUGCUGUGGCUGUGCUGUAGGCUGGUAGCUGUAGCUCCAAUUCAACCCCUAGCCUGGGAGCCUCCACAUGCCACA
rnacentral:lncRNA from 1 species